GGGCCCGCACAAGCGGUGGAGCAUGUGGUUUAAUUCGAUGAUACGCGAGGAACCUUACCAGGACUUAAAUGUAAGUUGCAUGAUUCAGAAAUGAAUCUUUCUUCGGACUACUUACAAGGUGCUGCAUGGUUGUCGUCAGCUCGUGCCGUGAGGUGUCAGGUUAAGUCCUAUAACGAGCGCAACCCCUAUCGUUAGUUGCCAUCAAGUAAAGUUGGGAACUCUAGCGAAACUGCCGGUGCAAACCGAGAGGAAGGUGGGGAUGACGUCAAAUCAUCACGGCCCUUACGUUCUGGGCUACACACGUGCUACAAUGGUCGGUACAGAAAGCAGCCACUAUGCGAAUAGGAGCUAAUCUUCAAACCCUAUCUCAGUUCGGAUCGGAGUCUGCAACUCGACUCCGUGAAGUUGGAAUCGCUAGUAA
rnacentral:rRNA from 1 species